GGUCCAUGGACUCCUGAAGAAGAUCAGAUACUCAUCAAUUACAUUCAACAAUAUGGCCAUGGCAACUGGAGGGCACUUCCUAAACAUGCAGGUUUAUUGAGGUGUGGAAAGAGCUGCAGGCUCCGGUGGACAAAUUACCUGAGACCGGACAUUAAACGAGGAAAUUUCACCAGGGAAGAAGAGGAUACCAUCAUCAAAUUGCAUGAAAUGCUGGGGAAUAGAUGGUCAGCAAUUGCAACAAGAUUACCGGGACGGACAGACAACGAAAUAAAAAAUGUAUGGCACACCCACCUGAAGAAAAGAUUGAAGCAAAAUCCUGUUGGUAUCCCAGAAAUUAAAAGACGCUCAAUUGAUAUGAUCUCCAGAGUAGAUCAAGAAUCGAAGACAGAACCUGAGUUGGUAAAUUUAUCAAAUCUUGUAGGAUUUGAGUCGCGUGAGGGCAUAGAAUAUAGACCCAUCUCGCCACAGCAGUGCUCUUCCAGUGAAAUCUCGUCGGUGACCACAGGUGACGAUGCCAUUAAUAACAUGUCUUCCAUGAAGGUGGAGCCAUCGGAUGAUUUUCUUGAAAUGGAUGAAAAUUUCUGGUCAGAAGUAUUGUCAAGCGACAACUCAAGCUCGGAAAGUGAUAUUCUUGGGGCGGCACAAUUUCAAAUUCCAUUUUCUACACUAGGAAAUGCCAUGGAACCUGCAGUCCAAUAUGGCUAUAAUUCAAGCAUGUAUGAUAGCAUGGAAUUCUGGUAUAACCUUUUCACAAGAACUGGGGAAUCACUAGAAUUACCAGAAAUUUAAAUAAUAUGGUUGAAUUUUU
rnacentral:misc_RNA from 1 species